CGCCUUGUGCUGCGGUAGGAUUGUACCUUAUGAGGUUUAACUGAAGCGCGAUUAUUGCUUAUUGAAAACUUUACUCAAUACCCCGCUGUGGUGAGUUGAAAAGUCAAUCAUAGCAAAUUUUGAUGGUUUCUGCGGAGA